rnacentral:rRNA from 1 species
CCAGCAGCCGCGGUAAUACGUAGGGAGCAAGCGUUGUCCGGAUUUACUGGGCGUAAAGGGCGCGUAGGUGGUCUAUUAAGUUAUAGGUGAAAGUUCGGGGCUCAACCCCGUGAUUGCCUGUGAUACUGGUAGACUUGAGUGCAGGAGAGGGGAGCAGAAUUCCCAGUGUAGCGGUGAAAUGCGUAGAUAUUGGGAGGAAUACCAGUGGCGAAGGCGGCUCUCUGGACUGUAACUGACACUGAGGCGCGAAAGCGUGGGGAGCGAACAGGAUUAGAUACCCUGGUAGUCCACGCCGUAAACGAUGAGUGCUAGGUGUUGCGGGUAUCGACCCCUGCAGUGCCGCAGUAAACACAAUAAGCACUCCGCCUGGGGAGUACGGUCGCAAGACUGAAACUCAAAGGAAUUGACGGGGGCCCGCACAAGC